AUGGACGCAAGUCUGAUGGAGCAACGCCGCGUGAGUGAAGAAGGUUUCGGCUCGUAAAGCUCUGUUGGUAGUGAAGAAAGAUAGAGGUAGUAACUGGCCUUUAUUUGACGGUAAUUACUUAGAAAGUCACGGCUAACUACGUGCCAGCAGCCGCGGUAAUACGUAGGUGGCAAGCGUUGUCCGGAUUUAUUGGGCGUAAAGCGAGUGCAGGCGGUUCAAUAAGUCUGAUGUGAAAGCCUUCGGCUCAACCGGAGAAUUGCAUCAGAAACUGUUGAACUUGAGUGCAGAAGAGGAGAGUGGAACUCCAUGUGUAGCGGUGGAAUGCGUAGAUAUAUGGAAGAACACCAGUGGCGAAGGCGGCUCUCUGGUCUGCAACUGACGCUGAGGCUCGAAAGCAUGGGUAGCGAACAGGAUUAGAUACCCUGGUAGUCCAUGCCGUAAACGAUGAGUGCUAAGUGUUGGGAGGUUUCCGCCUCUCAGUGCUGCAGCUAACGCAUUAAGCACUCCGCCUGGGGAGUACGACCGCAAGGUUGAAACUCAAAGGAAUUGACGGGGGCCCGCACAAGCGGUGGAGCAUGUGGUUUAAUUCGAAGCAACGCGAAGAACCUUACCAGGUCUUGACAUCCAG
rnacentral:rRNA from 1 species